CCACAAGAUGCACAUUGGAGCAAAUGUGCAGGUGCGAGUCCUUCCUUGCACCCUGUGAUAAUCUGACUUUUUUUUCCCUUUGUUUUAGUGGGAAGGAGCUCUGAAGCCCCGAGCUAGUGAAGCAAGCUGGUAGCAAGGAGGCUGCCGUGAGCUCCCUGGCGUGUUCAGCCAGUGCAGAUGGCGAAGUAUCCUCCUUGAAGAGUUGCCAAGACGUGGAUGGCAUUGCGAGUCUGGAGGUUUUCACAUUGGGGAGCACAGAAAACUCUCUGAGACUGUGGCCUAAGUGCACCAGCAACCUCCUAGACAGUAACUUUACAGCUGGCACUGGAGCCUGUUCUCAAGGUAGAAUGGUGCCCUGGAAGUUACGCCUGGACAGAGGUGGUGCAUCCUGCUCAGCCAUUUGCAGACUCAGCUCCUGACCGCGAAGCCUCCACCAACUUGGCACACCUCUCAGAACAGAGUCCGAGAGCCCCGUUCACCAGCCGCAGGGACAAAACGGUCGCCCCGUCUCAAAGAGCCCGCAGCUCCGAAGGAAGGGAUGGCGGCGGGCGCAGGUCAGUUCCCGACAGCCUCCUGUUGCGUGUUA
rnacentral:lncRNA from 1 species